UGGGGAAUCUUGCACAAUGGGGGAAACCCUGAUGCAGCGACGCCGCGUGAGCGAUGAAGCCCUUCGGGGUGUAAAGCUCUUUCGGCUGGAACGAUAAUGACGGUACCAGCAGAAGAAGCUGCGGCUAACUACGUGCCAGCAGCCGCGGUAAUACGUAGGCAGCGAGCGUUGUUCGGAGUUACUGGGCGUAAAGAGUGCGUAGGCGGUGCGGCAAGUCUGGUGUGAAAUCUCCCGGCUUAACUGGGAGGGUGCGCUAGAAACUGCCGUGCUAGAGUGUGGGAGAGGUAAGCGGAAUUCCUGGUGUAGCGGUGAAAUGCGUAGAUAUCAGGAGGAACACCUGCGGUGUAGACAGCUUACUGGACCAUAACUGACGCUGAGGCACGAAAGCGUGGGUAGCAAACAGGAUUAGAUACCCUGGUAGUCCACGCCCUAAACGAUGCAUACUUGGUGUGGGUGAUUCAUUUCAUCCGUGCCGGAGCUAACGCGUUAAGUAUGCCGCCUGGGGAGUACGGUCGCAAGGCUGA
rnacentral:rRNA from 1 species